UACGUAGGGUGCGAGCGUUGUCCGGAAUUAUUGGGCGUAAAGAGCUCGUAGGCGGUGUGUCACGUCGGCCGUGAAAACCUGCAGCUUAACUGUGGGCGUGCGGUCGAUACGGGCAUCACUGGAGUUCGGCAGGGGAGACUGGAAUUCCUGGUGUAGCGGUGAAAUGCGCAGAUAUCAGGAGGAACACCGGUGGCGAAGGCGGGUCUCUGGGCAACAACUGACGCUGAGGAGCGAAAGCGUGGGGAGCAAACAGG
rnacentral:rRNA from 1 species